UUCCUGCUGUUUCCAAUCACCACCGUUUAACCUCCCGUCACAGGAAACCCUAAUGGAAAAAGGAAGCUUUCAUCAUCAAAUCCACAAAUCUCAAUCAAUUCCAGGCUUCAGUUUAGCGCAAGCAAUUUGCAAACUUUAGAUCGGAAUUUUCUGUCACCGGCGACUUUGAAUAUAUCCUGGAAGCGAUUUGCGACGGUGAAGGCUUUGAAUGCUGAAAAUGAUUCAGUCAUUCCUUUUACGGCCACCGUGUUUGCUCAUGGUGCUUCAAAUCUAUGGGCCCUAAUUAUAGAUGCUAGAGCUGUUUUUUGUUCUGUAGCUUAUGAACUGUCAUCUAUCUUCUUUACAAGGACUGGAUCAUGGGAUAGUUGCAGCCAAUGGAAGCUCUUUAGCUGUUAUAACAAGGGACACUUCCAUAUAUUUCCUUUUGUAUAUAUAUCCGCCUGAGUUUCAAAUAUUGUAUUUACUCUUAGAAAACACUAAAAAGAUCUUAUUUAUUCAACAAUAUAUAAGGUCACGUGCUUUGUGCGAAACAAACCUAUUACCUGCUAUAUUGGUGAAUGAUUAUUAUAAAAUUUUUGCAGGCAUGAAGUUGAGCUUGCUGCAGCCGCGAGCCAGCCUUUCCCAAAUGAUGAUGAUGCUUAUAAAGAGGUCAAGGUCACUUUUUUUAGUAAAUGGGUCAGGGUUAUCAUUUUUAGUAAACGGAUCAAAUUAUCAUUUUAUAACCAGGUUAGAUUACCAUUUUAGCAAACAAGGGUCAAGGUUACCAUUUUUAUUUUGUGGGUUCAAGGUAACAAUGGAUGCGCAAGGAGAACCAAGUUGACCCAUUCAGCAAAUGGGUCAACAUUAUAUUUGUUUACUAUAAUUUACCCAUCUUACCCAUUAUAAUUGUGUAUUGUUCCGGUUAUAAUUUACAUGCUUUGCUUUUGGUAUUUUCUUUUUUGCUCGACCAAGGCCGCAACAAAUUGAGGCAUGUGAAGUUACAGUGGAAGAUUGGGAAAUUCAUGUACAAAUUGAGUAAGUCUUGUAAUCAACGAGAUACUCACCCGACUCGGGCUCUAAAGGAACAUGCAUGUCGAUAAUGCUCUUAAUUCUUCAGCUCUAGCCAAGAGGAAUGUGAUCGGGGGAACGAGAUGUGUCCGAUCUGCGGCCUUGAGCCAGAGACAACCGAUCUAUUGGCCAGGUGCCUUUUUGCAAAAACGGUGAGGUGGUUGGUUUGCGUCUGGACAAAGGUUCUGGUGCGGUGGUGCCAAUUCCUUUGACUCUGUAGCCCAAAUGCUUUAUCAUUGCCACGACUAG